GGAUUAGUGGCGAACGNGGGUGAUCUGCCCUGCACUCUGGGAUAAGCCCUGGGAAACUGGGUCUAAUACCGGAUAUGACCUCNNGAUGCAUGUUCNGGGGUGGAAAGUUUUUCGGUGCAGGAUGAGCCCGCGGCCUAUCAGCUUGUUGGUGGGGUAAUGGCCUACCAAGGCGACGACGGGUAGCCGGCCUGAGAGGGCGACCGGCCACACUGGGACUGAGACACGGCCCAGACUCCUACGGGAGGCAGCAGUGGGGAAUAUUGCACAAUGGGCGCAAGCCUGAUGCAGCGACGCCGCGUGAGGGAUGACGGCCUUCGGGUUGUAAACCUCUUUCACCCAUGACGAAGCGCAAGUGACGGUAGUGGGGAGAAGAAGCACCGGCCAACUACNUGCCAGCAGCCGCGUUAAUACNUAGGGUUGCGAGCCGUUGUCCGGAAUUNCUGGGCGUUAAAGAGCUCGUAGGCGGGUUGUCGCGUUCGUCNGUNAAAAUCCCGCAGCUCAACUGCGGGNUUGCAGGGCGAUACGGGCAGACUCGAGUACUGCAGGGGAGACUGGAANUCCUGGUGUAGCGGUGAAA
rnacentral:rRNA from 1 species